GGAAGUUUUGGGCUCACGACGCGAUUAACUAAGAAAUUUUAAAAAGUCCCAAUUUUAUUUCUCGAGUUUUUAAGUUUAAAAGCGAAAUUUAAUCAAGAUGCCGAAGCCAGCUCCAAAUCUUGAGGAUGAGGAUCCCACCCCAUACCUGUUCGUGUCUUUGGAACAGAGACGUAUCGAUCAAUCGAAACCCUAUGACUCCAAGAAGAACUGUUGGGUCCCCGACGAGAAGGAGGGUUAUCUCCUUGGUGAGAUCAAGGCCACCAAGGGCGAUAUCGUCUCCGUCGGCUUGCCUGGUGGAGAGACACGAGACUUCAAGAAAGAUCAGCUCCAGCAAGUGAACCCUCCAAAAUACGAAAAAGCUGAGGAUAUGUCCAACUUGACAUACCUUAACGAUGCCUCUGUGCUCCAUAACUUGAGACAGAGAUACUACAACAAGCUCAUCUACACCUACUCUGGUCUUUUCUGCGUUGCCAUCAAUCCUUACAAGCGCUACCCCGUAUAUACCAACCGUUGCGCUAAGAUGUACCGUGGCAAGCGCCGUAAUGAGGUGCCACCCCAUAUUUUCGCCAUCUCUGACGGUGCCUACGUCGACAUGUUGACCAACCACGUGAAUCAAUCUAUGUUGAUCACCGGUGAGUCUGGUGCCGGAAAGACUGAGAACACCAAGAAGGUCAUUGCGUACUUCGCCACUGUUGGCGCUUCCACCAAGAAGGAUGAAUCGCAGAAGAACAAGGGUUCCCUGGAAGAUCAGGUUGUGCAGACUAACCCUGUGCUUGAGGCUUUCGGUAACGCCAAGACCGUGCGUAACGAUAACUCCUCUCGUUUCGGUAAAUUCAUCCGUAUCCACUUCGGACCUACUGGUAAACUGGCUGGUGCUGAUAUUGAGACCUAUCUGCUGGAGAAGGCCCGUGUCAUCUCCCAGCAGUCCCUGGAGCGUUCCUACCACAUCUUCUACCAGAUCAUGUCUGGCUCCGUUGCCGGUGUUAAAGACAUGUGCUUCCUCUCCGAUAACAUUUACGACUACUAUAACGUAUCCCAGGGUAAAGUCACUGUACCCAACAUGGAUGACGGUGAGGAAUUCCAGCUUGCAGAUCAAGCCUUCGACAUUCUGGGCUUCACCAAGCAGGAGAAGGAGGAUGUGUACAGGAUCACCGCCGCUGUCAUGCACAUGGGUGGCAUGAAGUUCAAGCAACGUGGUCGCGAGGAGCAGGCUGAGCAGGACGGUGAGGAGGAGGGUGGCCGUGUGUCUAAGCUGUUCGGCUGCGACACCGCUGAGCUGUACAAGAACUUGCUCAAGCCCCGCAUCAAGGUCGGUAACGAGUUCGUCACCCAGGGCCGUAACGUCCAGCAGGUCACCAACUCGAUCGGUGCCCUCUGCAAGGGUGUCUUCGAUCGUCUGUUCAAGUGGCUGGUCAAGAAGUGUAACGAGACUCUGGAUACCCAGCAGAAGCGUCAGCACUUCAUUGGUGUACUGGAUAUUGCUGGUUUUGAAAUCUUCGACUACAACGGUUUCGAGCAACUGUGUAUUAACUUCACCAACGAGAAGUUGCAACAAUUCUUCAACCAUCACAUGUUCGUUUUGGAGCAAGAAGAAUACAAGAGGGAAGGUAUCGAUUGGGCCUUCAUCGAUUUCGGUAUGGACUUGUUGGCCUGUAUCGAUCUGAUUGAAAAGCCUAUGGGUAUCCUGUCCAUCCUUGAAGAAGAGUCUAUGUUCCCCAAGGCCACCGAUCAGACCUUCUCGGAGAAGCUGACCAACACCCAUUUGGGCAAGUCGGCUCCAUUCCAGAAGCCCAAGCCCCCAAAGCCCGGCCAGCAGGCUGCCCACUUUGCCAUCGGCCAUUAUGCUGGUGUUGUCGCUUACAACAUCACCGGUUGGUUGGAGAAGAACAAGGAUCCUCUGAACGACACUGUUGUCGACCAGUUCAAGAAGUCUCAGAACAAGCUGCUGAUCGAAAUCUUCGCCGAUCACGCCGGACAGUCGGGCGGCGGUGAACAGGCCAAGGGAGGUCGUGGCAAGAAGGGUGGUGGCUUCGCCACUGUGUCCUCUGCCUACAAGGAGCAGUUGAACAGCUUGAUGACCACUCUGCGCUCCACUCAGCCUCACUUCGUCCGUUGCAUCAUUCCCAACGAGAUGAAGCAGCCUGGACUUGUUGAUGCCCACUUGGUUAUGCACCAGCUGACCUGUAACGGUGUGCUUGAAGGUAUCCGUAUUUGCCGUAAGGGCUUCCCCAACAGGAUGGUCUACCCUGACUUCAAGAUGCGUUACAUGAUUCUGGCCCCAGCCAUCAUGGCGGCCGAAAAGGUGGCCAAGAAUGCGGCCGGCAAGUGUUUGGAAGCCGUCGGACUGGAUCCCGAUAUGUAUCGCAUUGGUCACACCAAGGUGUUCUUCCGUGCCGGUGUCCUGGGUCAGAUGGAGGAGUUCCGUGAUGAGCGUCUGGGCAAGAUCAUGUCCUGGAUGCAGGCCUGGGCUCGUGGUUACCUGUCCCGCAAGGGCUUCAAGAAGCUCCAGGAACAGCGCGUCGCCCUCAAGGUUGUCCAGCGCAAUCUGCGCAAGUACCUGCAGCUCCGCACCUGGCCAUGGUACAAACUGUGGCAGAAGGUCAAGCCCCUCCUCAACGUCAGCCGUAUCGAGGAUGAGAUUGCCCGUCUGGAGGAGAAGGCCAAGAAGGCUGAGGAACUGCAUGCCGCUGAAGUGAAAGUACGCAAGGAGCUGGAGGCCCUCAACGCCAAGCUGUUGGCUGAGAAGACCGCCCUGCUGGACUCUCUGUCCGGUGAGAAGGGCCAGCUGCAGGACUUCCAGGAGCGCAACGCCAAGUUGACCGCCCAGAAGAACGACCUCGAGAACCAGCUGCGCGACAUCCAAGAGCGCCUGACUCAGGAGGAAGAUGCCCGCAACCAGCUGUUCCAGCAGAAGAAGAAGGCCGACCAGGAGAUCUCUGGCCUGAAGAAGGACAUCGAGGAUCUGGAGCUGAAUGUCCAGAAGGCCGAGCAGGACAAGGCCACCAAGGAUCACCAGAUCCGCAACUUGAACGACGAGAUCGCCCACCAGGAUGAGCUCAUCAACAAGCUGAACAAGGAGAAGAAGAUGCAGGGCGAGUCCAACCAGAAGACUGGUGAGGAACUGCAGGCCGCCGAGGACAAGAUCAACCACUUGAACAAGGUUAAGGCCAAGCUCGAGCAGACCCUCGACGAGCUCGAGGAUUCUCUGGAGCGUGAGAAGAAGGUGCGCGGUGAUGUUGAGAAGUCCAAGCGCAAGGUUGAGGGAGACCUCAAGCUCACCCAGGAGGCUGUUGCCGAUCUGGAGCGCAACAAGAAGGAAUUGGAGCAGACCAUCCAGCGCAAGGACAAGGAACUGUGCUCCAUCACCGCCAAGCUCGAGGAUGAGCAGGUUGUGGUUGGCAAGCACCAGCGCCAGAUCAAGGAACUGCAGGCCCGCAUCGAGGAGCUCGAGGAGGAGGUUGAGGCUGAGCGCCAGGCCCGCGCCAAGGCUGAGAAGCAGCGCGCCGAUCUGGCCCGUGAGCUUGAGGAAUUGGGCGAGCGUCUGGAGGAGGCUGGCGGUGCCACCUCUGCCCAGAUUGAGCUCAACAAGAAGCGUGAGGCUGAGCUCAGCAAGCUCCGUCGCGAUCUUGAGGAGGCCAACAUCCAGCACGAGUCCACCCUGGCUAACCUGCGCAAGAAGCACAACGAUGCCGUCGCCGAGAUGGCCGAGCAGGUUGAUCAGCUCAACAAGCUGAAGGCUAAGGCCGAGCACGAUCGCCAGACUUGCCACAACGAGCUGAAUCAGACUCGUACCGCCUGCGAUCAGCUGGGUCGCGAUAAGGCUGCCCAGGAGAAGAUCGCCAAGCAGCUGCAGCACACCCUCAACGAAGUCCAGUCCAAAUUGGAUGAGACCAACAGGACUCUGAACGACUUCGAUGCCAGCAAGAAGAAGCUGUCCAUUGAGAACUCCGAUCUGCUCCGCCAGCUGGAGGAGGCCGAGUCCCAGGUGUCUCAGCUGUCCAAGAUCAAGAUCUCCCUGACCACCCAGCUUGAGGAUACCAAGCGUCUGGCCGAUGAGGAGUCCCGCGAGCGUGCUACCCUUCUGGGCAAGUUCCGCAACUUGGAGCACGACCUGGACAACCUGCGCGAACAGGUUGAGGAGGAGGCUGAGGGCAAGGCCGAUCUGCAGCGCCAGCUGAGCAAGGCCAACGCUGAGGCCCAGGUCUGGCGUAGCAAGUACGAGUCCGAUGGUGUUGCCCGCUCUGAGGAGCUGGAGGAGGCCAAGAGGAAGCUGCAGGCCCGUCUCGCCGAGGCUGAGGAGACCAUUGAGUCCCUUAACCAGAAGUGCAUUGGCCUGGAGAAGACCAAGCAGCGCCUGUCCACCGAAGUGGAGGAUCUCCAGCUGGAGGUCGACCGUGCCAACGCCAUUGCCAACGCUGCCGAGAAGAAGCAGAAGGCCUUCGACAAGAUCAUCGGCGAAUGGAAACUGAAGGUUGAUGAUCUGGCCGCUGAGCUUGAUGCCUCCCAGAAGGAGUGCCGCAACUACUCCACCGAACUGUUCCGUCUGAAGGGUGCCUACGAGGAGGGCCAGGAGCAGCUGGAGGCUGUGCGUCGUGAGAACAAGAACUUGGCUGAUGAGGUCAAGGAUCUGCUCGACCAGAUCGGUGAGGGUGGCCGCAACAUCCAUGAGAUCGAGAAGGCCCGCAAGCGCCUGGAGGCUGAGAAGGACGAGCUCCAAGCCGCCCUUGAGGAGGCUGAGGCUGCUCUUGAGCAGGAGGAGAACAAGGUGCUGCGCGCCCAGCUGGAGCUGUCCCAGGUCCGCCAGGAAAUCGAUCGCCGCAUCCAGGAGAAGGAGGAGGAGUUCGAGAACACCCGCAAGAACCACCAGCGCGCCCUCGACUCCAUGCAGGCUUCCCUUGAGGCUGAGGCCAAGGGCAAGGCUGAGGCCCUGCGCAUGAAGAAGAAGCUGGAGGCUGACAUCAACGAGCUGGAGAUUGCUCUGGAUCAUGCCAACAAGGCUAACGCCGAGGCCCAGAAGAACAUCAAGCGUUACCAGCAACAGCUUAAGGACAUCCAGACCGCUCUCGAGGAGGAGCAGCGCGCCCGCGACGAUGCCCGCGAACAGCUGGGUAUCUCCGAGCGUCGUGCCAACGCUCUCCAGAACGAACUGGAGGAGUCGCGCACUCUGCUGGAGCAGGCCGACCGUGGCCGUCGCCAGGCCGAACAGGAGCUGGCCGAUGCCCACGAGCAGUUGAACGAGGUUUCCGCCCAGAACGCCUCCAUCUCCGCUGCCAAGAGGAAGCUGGAGUCUGAGCUGCAGACCCUGCACUCCGACCUGGACGAACUCUUGAACGAGGCCAAGAACUCCGAGGAGAAGGCCAAGAAGGCUAUGGUUGAUGCCGCCCGCCUGGCUGAUGAGCUCCGCGCUGAGCAGGAUCAUGCCCAGACCCAGGAGAAAUUGAGGAAGGCUUUGGAGCAGCAGAUCAAGGAGCUCCAGGUCCGUCUCGAUGAAGCCGAGGCCAACGCCCUUAAGGGUGGCAAGAAGGCUAUCCAGAAGUUGGAGCAGCGCGUCCGCGAGCUCGAGAACGAGCUGGAUGGUGAGCAGAGGCGACAUGCCGAUGCCCAGAAGAACUUGCGCAAGUCUGAGCGCCGCAUCAAGGAGCUGAGCUUCCAGUCUGAGGAGGACCGCAAGAACCACGAACGCAUGCAGGAUCUGGUCGAUAAGCUGCAACAGAAGAUCAAGACAUACAAGAGGCAGAUCGAGGAGGCUGAGGAAAUCGCCGCCCUCAACUUGGCCAAAUUCCGCAAGGCUCAGCAGGAGCUGGAGGAGGCCGAGGAGCGUGCCGAUCUGGCCGAGCAGGCCAUCAGCAAAUUCCGCGCCAAGGGACGUGCCGGUUCUGUCGGUCGUGGUGCCAGCCCAGCGAUCUAAAUCUGAGGCACCAUCACCAAGUGAAAAAAAAACCAAAAAAAAAAAAAUCUAUAUAGCGAUCCAAUUAUGGUUCAAUUACGAUAAUGAGAGAACAAAACCAUGCAAAGAGAAUUAUAGCUUAUAAGAAUUAUUAUAAAAUAAAUACUAAUAACAAUAAUAUAGAUGCAUCAAACGACAUUCGCUAGCAGUCAAAAAUGUUCAAAUUAGAGGCCACCCAAAAAAAAUAUCCAAAAUACCAAAUCAGAGGACCAAAUCACCGUAUAUACCAACCAAAAAUGCGUUCAUUUUGAAAGAAAAGCAUAAAAAACAAACCAAAAAAAAUAAAUUUGAAUGAAACAAGCAAGCAAGCAAUCAACAGCAGCUAAAAGCUAAAUGCUAAAUCAAUCGAAUUGCUUUCUCUACAACCAUUUACAAUAAAUCCAAAAAAAAAAAUACUGUUCUUCCACUAUAUUAUUAUAUAAACUGUAUUUGUACAUGUGUACUGCAGCCGACAGCGUCAAAGGGCCGCAAGAGCGCGCUGCUGGAGCAGUAGAAACUUUCUUGAAACAUUUCCCCGUGCGACGUCCGUCAGGCCACAAUUCGACGGAUUGGCCUUCCCACCAAGAUUCGACCUUGCUCCUGAAAACGAAUUCUAAAUGCCAUUUCAUUUUUUAAUUUAUUUUAAAUGAUAUUUCAUAAUGAUUAUGUUUAUGAUUUUAAUUUAAUUUCUUAAUUUAAAAACAAAAUAAUAAAACUAUAACAAAAUAUAUAUCGAAAACGACGGGAGGCAAAAUACCACCAUCUUACCACCAAACCAAAAAAUCAACAUCAAAAACGCCAAAAAUGCACUUAGGCAAAAGAAAAAAUAAAAGCAAAUAAGCUAAAAAAUAAUAGCAUACGUACAUAAGUGAACUGUGUAGCAAUCAAUCACUGUGUAUAUUCAGGCUUUUGUGUGUAAGCGCGACAUUUUCCGCGGGGAUGCCGCUAAUCGUGCGGCCUGUAUUUGUAUUUAUAUAUUUUUAUACAACUUUCGAAAUGCAUUCAACCAAAAUGAAAAAUCAAAACAUCGAUUUUUUAAACAACAAAACUCGAGAAAGAUCGCGAAAUGUGAGAGAGACAGAGCCCCGUGUCAAAGUCAAGGCCCCGGAAAGUGGUGUCCGCCGGUAAAUGUCGCCCGCUGUUCGAUUAUUGUUCUAUAUGUAUUCUCAAUUUAUUUGUCAUACAGACCAGACACAAGACGUACGGACGACACGAGCUAUACACUGCGCUUAUGUUUAUGUUUAAUUCUUGAUUAAAUCAAAAAUCAAUGAUAAAUGAGCUAAGAUCAUCACUCGACACGAAAUGAAAAAGUAUACAAAAAAGGAACAAAAUAAAUGUAAAUCAAUUAAAAAA
rnacentral:misc_RNA from 1 species